rnacentral:rRNA from 1 species
GUGGGGAAUAUUGGACAAUGGGCGCAAGCCUGAUCCAGCCAUGCCGCGUGAGUGAUGAAGGCCCUAGGGUUGUAAAGCUCUUUCACCGGUGAAGAUAAUGACGGUAACCGGAGAAGAAGCCCCGGCUAACUUCGUGCCAGCAGCCGCGGUAAUACGAAGGGGGCUAGCGUUGUUCGGAAUUACUGGGCGUAAAGCGCACGUAGGCGGGUAUUUAAGUCAGGGGUGAAAUCCCAGAGCUCAACUCUGGAACUGCCUUUGAUACUGGGUACCUAGAGUAUGGAAGAGGUAAGUGGAAUUCCGAGUGUAGAGGUGAAAUUCGUAGAUAUUCGGAGGAACACCAGUGGCGAAGGCGGCUUACUGGUCCAUUACUGACGCUGAGGUGCGAAAGCGUGGGGAGCAAACAGGAUUAGAAACCCGGGUAGUCC